GGGCUGUUGGUCUAGUGGUAUGAUUCUCGCUUAGGGUUCACCCCAAGCUUAUCUGCGAGAGGUCCCGGGUUCGACUCCCGGAUAGCCCC
rnacentral:tRNA from 1 species